rnacentral:rRNA from 1 species
CAGUAGCCACGGUAAUACGAAGGGGGCUAGCGUUGUUCGGAAUUACUGGGCGUAAAGCGCACGUAGGCGGAUACUUAAGUCAGGGGUGAAAUCCCGGGGCUCAACCCCGGAACUGCCUUUGAUACUGGGUAUCUCGAGUCCGGAAGAGGUGAGUGGAAUUCCGAGUGUAGAGGUGAAAUUCGUAGAUAUUCGGAGGAACACCAGUGGCGAAGGCGGCUCACUGGUCCGGUACUGACGCUGAGGUGCGAAAGCGUGGGGAGCAAACAGGAUUAGAUACCCCAGUAGUCCCUGUCUCUUAUAC